rnacentral:rRNA from 1 species
GUUGGGUAGGGGAGCGUUCUGUAAGCCUGCGAAGGUGUACUGUGAGGUAUGCUGGAGGUAUCAGAAGUGCGAAUGCUGACAUAAGUAACGAUAAUGCGGGUGAAAAACCCGCACGCCGGAAGACCAAGGGUUCCUGUCCAACGUUAAUCGGGGCAGGGUGAGUCGACCCCUAAGGCGAGGCUGAAAAGCGUAGUCGAUGGGAAACGGGUUAAUAUUCCCGUACUGGUGGUAACUGCGAUGGGGGAACGGAGAAGGCUAGGUUGUCCGGGCGACGGUCGUCCCGGUUCAAGCAGGUAGGCAGAGUGAUUAGGCAAAUCCGGUCACUUAAUGCUGAGAUGUGAUGACGAACCACCAAGGUGGUGAAGCAAUUGAUGCCCCGCUUCCAGGAAAAGCCUCUAAGCUUCAGGUUACCAACAAUCGUACCCCAAACCGACACAGGUGGUCAGGUAGAGAAUACUCAGGCGCUUGAGAGAACUCGGGUGAAGGAACUAGGCAAAAUGGUGCCGUAACUUCGGGAGAAGGCACGCUGGCGGUAGGUAAAGUCCCUCGCGGACAGAGCUGAAGCCAGUCGAAGAUACCAGCUGGCUGCAACUGUUUAUUAAAAACACAGCACUGUGCAAACACGAAAGUGGACGUAUACGGUGUGACGCCUGCCCGGUGCUGGAAGGUUAAUUGAUGGGGUCAGCCGUAAGGCGAAGCUCCUGAUCGAAGCCCCAGUAAACGGCGGCCGUAACUAUAACGGUCCUAAGGUAGCGAAAUUCCUUGUCGGGUAAGUUCCGACCUGCACGAAUGGCGUAAUGAUGGCCAGGCUGUCUCCACCCGAGACUCAGUGAAAUUGAACUCGCUGUGAAGAUGCAGUGUACCCGCGGCAAGACGGAAAGACCCCGUGAACCUUUACUAUAGCUUGACACUGAACAUUGAGCCUUGAUGUGUAGGAUAGGUGGGAGGCUUUGAAGUGUGGACGCCAGUCUGCAUGGAGCCAACCUUGAAAUACCACCCUUUAACGUUUGAUGUUCUAACCUAGGCCCAUAAACUGGGUCGGGGACCGUGUCUGGUGGGUAGUUUGACUGGGGCGGUCUCCUCCUAAAGAGUAACGGAGGAGCACGAAGGUUGGCUAAGCAUGGUCGGACAUCAUGCGGUUAGUGCAAAGGCAUAAGCCAGCUUGACUGCGAGAGUGACGGCUCGAGCAGGUACGAAAGUAGGUCUUAGUGAUCCGGUGGUUCUGAAUGGAAGGGCCAUCGCUCAACGGAUAAAAGGUACUCCGGGGAUAACAGGCUGAUACCGCCCAAGAGUUCAUAUCGACGGCGGUGUUUGGCACCUCGAUGUCGGCUCAUCACAUCCUGGGGCUGAAGUAGGUCCCAAGGGUAUGGCUGUUCGCCAUUUAAAGUGGUACGCGAGCUGGGUUUAGAACGUCGUGAGACAGUUCGGUCCCUAUCUGCCGUGGGCGUUGGAAGAUUGAGAGGGGUUGCUCCUAGUACGAGAGGACCGGAGUGAACGCACCACUGGUGUUCGGGUUGUCAUGCCAAUGGCAUUGCCCGGUAGCUAAGUGCGGAAGAGAUAACCGCUGAAAGCAUCUAAGCGGGAAACUUGCCUCGAGAUGAGUCUUCCCUGUC